CACUGCUGAUUUGGGGAAUCUGCAAUAUCAAACCGUCAUGGUAAUGAUCAAAUCAAUGGCAUAGGUACUGCUACUCUUCCUAUUUCUCAUAUUGCCUCCAAUUGAAUAACGAUACUUUCACUCUUAAUAAUAUACUUCUUUAUGUUUUCAUGGAUUUUGUAAACAAGAUCAUAAAGGACAGUUUAUUUUGAGCAUAUGGUCAGAUUUUUGCAGGAGCUCAAAUAAACAUACAGGUAUCAUAUCUCGUUGGUGGUUCAUGUUAUAUAUUGCUGUUGCACAGUAGUUUUGGAAUUCAAUUAACUUGUUAGUUAUUUGUUGUUCCUUAGCUCAAUGUUGUAGUGAUAUAUAGACAGAACUUUGAAAUGGUUAUUGAGACUGUAGCACCUUGUGCACACUCCAGAAAAAUCUCAAUAUUGAUAUUCUGAAUUUCACGUUAUGAAUUCAUGCACAGUUGUCCUCUUAACUUGCUGUACUAAAAAUGCAAAUUCAGAAGGGUUCGAUUUUGGUGGUGAGAAUCAACUUAGUUAGUUGUGGAUGAAGGUUUUGUUAUGUUAAUUCUUUGUGUUCCAUAAUCUUUUUAAUUUCUGAUAAAUCUAACCUCCAAGAACAAUGAAGAUAUUGAAACAAAGUAGAAUCAAUUUGAGUGGUGCAGUGUUAUUUACCUUAGCAUAAGGGGAAUAGUACUUAUAGCCUUCAUUAUGGUUUCCACAUAUCAUUAACUUGUUUAACAUAUAUAUAUCUGUUUGCCCUAUGACUCUAG
rnacentral:lncRNA from 1 species